UCUCUCUCUCCCUCUCCCUCUGUCCCUCCCCCUGCGCCCCCUCAAAUAAAUACAUAAAGCUUCUAAAAAUGUGUGAAGUUAUAAGUGCUGUGAAGAAGCAUAAAGUGGGGUAAGUUGAGCGCGGGGUGGGAAGGUACCAUUUUGGGGAGGUGGCCUAGGGAAGGCCGCUCGGAGUUGGUUAAGUAAGAGCGGGGGUACUUGCUCUUCCAUGAAGUGGCCCCACGGUAGUGGGUGAAAAUGGCAGUAAGCUAAAGGCACGGGGCUAAAGCGAGCUUCACUUGUACCUCAGGAAACCCCUCCAGGCUCUUUCUCUCCUGUUGGUGGUCGCUAGAGAAUUCUGGGCAACUCAGUCCCCAACUUUAGUCACCGCCCAAAACAGAUCAUCCUAAAGCCAGUUUGCCCUUUCUCCUGUUGCUCGACAUGGGCACUCUGGACUCGGGAACAUUCCCACUGUGCUGUUCCUUGAAGCCCCCGCUGCAAAAUACGGAGACAGGGCACGUAUAGCCAAGCCCUAGAGUGUGGCUUCAGCUGUGAGCCUUUGAGACGGUGAGAAUUCUGGAGACCUUCCCCUUCAUUCUGGGCAGACUUAACCAUACAUCCUGUUCCACCAUGUAAACUAUGACACCCCGUAAGAAAUGCAAUUUUGGAGCCUUUGGAAAGCUCUGUGCUUCCCAGAGAAAUGCUCGAACGUUCUGUCAUCCAUAUGAGCCUGAAGGGCCUGGGGCCGUGGGUCCCUGAGCCAGAAGAGAAGACUGUUCUGGGUGCUUUCCUCUCCGCACUGACCUCCGCUCUGUCCUUUAUCAGACAGGAAACAGAGACUUGCAGCUGAGCUGAAAAGGAGCCAGAGUUGUGAGCCAGAAAUGAACAAGCGAACAAUAGUGGUCAGCUACAGGCCGGAGAAGAAAAUAUUAGAUACAGGUGGCAGGAAGAUGGGGCUCCCGCGGGCCCCCGCAAAGGCUCAGCCCUGAUGCUGCUUGAGGACCCAGCUCAGCUGAUGGCACGAGCCCGUGAGCCAUGGCCUCACAGAAACUCGUGAGCAACAGGCGUGGGGGCCUAGAGGCAGAUGGCCGUGGGCAGGAGCCCAGGGGAGGUUUUAGAAGUUCCCAGAACAUUUCUCUCUCUCUCUCUGUUUCUUUGGAAAGCUGUGGCUUUGAAGACGUCUUUUUCUCAUGCAGGAAUGCUCAAACUUCGGAGUGCGUUUAGAUCCUAGUUGUAUUUUGGAAUCCUGAAAGAAAACAGAGGAACCCAUUAUCUCUUGAUAAACAUUUCUGAUGUGUUCCUAUGACACAGACAAUGUAAGACAUGGCUGAGAGCUAGUGUGUCCCAGUCAUGACUGUGUGAGAGAGGAUGGGCCCCAGAGUCUCUAUCCCCCAAACUAAAAAUUCUCCUGGAAAGGUUUUGAUCAGUCCAGCUAGGUUCCAAUCCUUGGAUUAAUUGAGGUCAAGAGAGCAGAGUUCUGUUUUAUAAAAUUGCUUCCCCUGUAACCGUUCAGAUUAAGAAGUAGCAAUUCCUCCCAAAAGCUAUUUAUCAUUUCCUUCCAGGGUACCUCUCAGUUAAAAACCAGCUUGUGCUGGUUGAUCUUUCCAACUUUAACAUGUUCUUAUGCUUCAUUAAUGUUUUCCAUACUCUCAGCCAUUGUUGUUUUUGCCCCUGUAGUUACAGGUUAUAUCUAAUAAAUUUAUGUAACAAAUGAUGGAAGACUUGGGUACAACAGAAAACUUUUCAAUCUCAGUAUUAAUUUCACAUAAAACUGCCUGUCAUCAUAGGGUGUAAGAAAAGUAGCUCAUUUUCUGGCAAUUUGCAUGGCUCUCCUUGGGAAUCAUCAUAAAAGGGUAUGUCGGAUCAGACAGGGUUGUGCUGGGGUCCAGAGAGUACGUGCCCAAAUUGUAAACCCAAAAUGAGGAUUUAAUUAACGACAAAGGAUUGAGAGAGAUUCAGAAAACAUAUUCUUGCUUUUACUCGCAAGGUGGAAGUCUGGAAGCUUCCACACUCAGUGUUUGGUGUGUAUGAUACAUGCUGUGCACAGUAGCCAUAAAUUAGCCAAGCAAGACAUUAAAAAAAAAAAUUCACUCUCUUGCUAAGAGUGACUUCCGUUUGUACCUACACUUGUAAUAAUUUUAAAGGCAAUGUAAUGAAAUACAACGAUUGAUUUUUAUUUUUGGUAGGAAAACAAUGCUGAUGAGUCCACGGAAAUGAACAAACAACUCUAAAAAAGGGGGGAACAAAAAGAUGAGCUUUUUUUUUUUGAAAGGAGGACAAUAAAACCCCUUGUUAAUAUAUUUAUCUAGAGAGCAGUACGUUUCCCCACCUACACUCUUGGAAUAAGGACUGUGUGUGUAGAUAGAUUUUAUGCAUGCUUACUACACACCCCUAAACACGUCAUUGUGAGUGUUCUGGGUUAGGACAGCGGUCGUCUUGGUUGCUGAAGAAAAUUCUAGUGCAUAUAAAAAAGAAAGAGCAGUCAGGGCACACACGGGCCUCUUCAAGAAUGAGCCCUUCUGCGCGCUCUCCCUUUCUCACGGUAGGCGGCCGGUGCCGUGGCGAUCGCAGAGCAAGCACACCACAGUCUUUAUUAAUAGUUUUAUUUUCUUAUUUCACUGUUAAACUCGGGGUAAUAUCACUACAAAGUCGCAGGCAUCAUUUUAUAGUACAGACAACGGAUGUAUUUUCAGGAGAAAGAAUGAGCGUGGCGUGGGGGGCACCUGCAAUGCCUCCCGAGGAAGGGGGGGCCACCAGGUCAUAAAAACGGGUAAAAUUCAGUGCCUUUGGUAAAGAUGUGGACACUAUUUUAGACGCAACUAUGAUACAUGCCUUUUGCUUACAAAGCAAAUAUAGAGCCAUCAUCUUGUUUGGAUAGUGGUUUCUCCCCCACGGCCUCGUGAACUAAAGGGUGUGAUCACCGGACGCAGCGUAGAUGCUGUCCGCAGGAAUCCACGCCCCCCCUUCCCCCACAGCGUGGACGCCUGUUUCCCUGUAAUGAUCCCUCAGACCUGCACCAGCUUCGUUCCCACGUGUUUGAAAAAAAGAAAAAGAAAGGAAAAGGGGCGUCGCUCGCAAUGUUGCCGCCCAUGGCUGUACACACAAGCCCCGAGGAAGUUUCCCUGGGGGGUCGCGGCCCGGAGGCCCAAGGGCCCGGGUCCCAGACGAGGAAGGGAGUAACACAGGGCGUUUGUGUGGCUGCUUGCGGAACACUGGGGGUUCUCCCCUAACUUCCCACGCCCAGCAGAACUGCAGGCGGACAGGUUUCACGCCAACGACAGAUCCUCACUCGCGCAAAUGGAAAACGUAUCUCCCCGGCCUCGCCGGGCCCUCUCCGCGCUUCUGCUAGGACGACCGGGGAGGGCCGCGGAAGUUCACCUCUCUGGUAAGAAGUUCCCGAGUCCUAGGGAGAAAAGAGAGGGGUGAUUUUUUUUUUUUUUCCUUUCUGUAUUCUUCAUUCUGUCAACGACUUCAGGCCUGUUUAAAAUAGUUCUCCCUGUUGCUCAGGAACAUUUCAUGAGCUAAUAAUCAUCACCUUUUCCCUUAAGUUACUUUGCCGGCUGGGUGACCCCUGACUACAGUGGGAGCGUGGGGCAGGGGUGUGGGCAUAGUCCUGAUAAAUAUGUGGCAUGUGGGUCAUAAGGGGUUUCUAGUGAACAUUCAACAUGUACUGAAUGUCCAGUCUCUGACAGACACUCUGCCGCCACGGGAGGCAUAAGACCCACUUUGUAUCGUCAAGGAACUCACAGAAUUGAGCAUAAAAAUAGUUUGGGGGCUUGGUGUGCAAAUUGAGGAAUUGUUAAGUAUUUCAGACUUCGAGAAGGAAAGCUAAGAGACUUUAUAUUCUGGGGAUAAUUGUUUUUAGGUUAAGAUAGGGUUACCGGAGUCUGAUUUGGGUGAGGGAAGUGUUAUGAAUACUUCUCUGUCAUGGAGGCUACGGCUUUUCCAUUUUCCUUUUAUGUAGGAUGCCUCGUGCAACUCCCAGUGGGGGUGACCAGCCCAGGCCGGAGCAGGACGGUCCGGCCUCAGUGCUGAGUCUCUGUGGUUCUGCUACGACCACCACAGGCCUAAGGUUCUCCUGAGGCCUUGGUUCCUACCCAAGCAUUUGGGGUCCGCGCCUGCACGUCCAGGUGCCCUGUCUACCGGCGUGUGAGGCUGUGAGUGUAGCUACGCUCACUGAACAACGUCAGGAACCCCUGCCCGUGUUGGAGCCAGAGCAUGGCCCGGUGCGGGUGCGAACUUCCAUGGAGUGGAGUCGCUUUAUUAACUGUGAAGUUUUCGAGGGUUCAUCAGACGCCAUUUGACACCUGCCCCCAGGCCUCAGCGUUGAUCUGUUUGCUGUGAGAGCGCAAGUUCAGAUGCUUCCGUGUCGUCCUUGAGUACGAGCGUCUGGAGACAACCCAGGGAGUGGUGUAUCACUGAACAGAAACGGGCGUAUUUUGAGUCAAGGCUGGAUGUAAGGCAGGGAUGAUUCAGGAUAAUACGGAGAACCAGCAGAGAGACCGCAGGUGGGGGAUGGGCUGAGAGAACAGAGCCCAGGGAACUAGGGGACCGGACAGGUCACUUCUCUUAUCCAUCUGUGAAUAAUCGCGAAAGCUCUGCGAACCUCAUUCACGUGGAGUAGAACAGACUGAGGAUGGAGACAUUCUGAUCUUAUGAAACAGCCCUUUGGGAGGAAGGCAGGACAGGAGUUUCGAAAAGAAGGGGAAUUACGGACGUCCUGGGACCCUGGAAUCAGCAUUCCCAUGUUUAUUAGUGCUUGGCCAACCGGAGUAGGAAACUAGAGAUGCCGUUGCUCACCAGACGUUUCUCAGGAGUUCAGGACUCGCCACCGCCAGCAGGAUGGCCGCCGUCCUCUCAGUCUCGUGAAAAGCUCGACAGACCAAACUGACUGCUCGAGGGGACCUGGAAGAAUCACUUUCGAGGGACACCGCGGCUGAAGACCGAAGAGUGAU